AAAUAUUAAUAGUUAUGUUCUUGAAAUUUAGAGAAUUUGGCGGUGUUUUAGUCUGUUUAGAGGAACCUGUUUCGUAAAUGAUAAACCUCAAAAUAUCUUACUUGUUGUAGUAGUUUGUAUACCGUCAUUAUUAGAUAAUUUUUACAGAAAAAAUUAUUACAAUAUGGGGUGUCUUAGGAUAUUAGAUCAAGGUGCAGCCAAUGGACAAGAGAGAAUGGGUUACAGUAAGAUUUACUUACAACGGAGUGGGUUUUUGCAAACGACCAUGAAGGUGGAUUUAAUUGUAAUGCGAGUUUAACAAGCUUCCAUGAUAUUAGCUCUAAAUUGUGUACACA
rnacentral:rRNA from 1 species